UCCGCAGCUGAGUGUCAGUUGGAACGGAGGGACUGGCCAAGCAGGAACCAUUGGUCAAGGCAAACAUGGUGAGACCCUGGCCUUGAGGGCAGAGUGGAACGCAGAGUAGAGAAGUUACAAGGAUGCGGGGGUGAGAAAGACGUCAGCCCGGCUCUGGCACCAGAUCCCUUCACUGAACUUAGCAAGAGUUAGACUGACCUCAGAAUGGUCUAUCCCACUUCAUCUGUGAAGGGAAUAAAUGCAACUGGGAGGCUACAGAAAUGAGGAAGAGCUCCAUGUGAACUUCUGAGAAGUGGAAACUUUCACCCCAAACCUGGGAGGGGCUGAAGGUUCUCACCAAGUUCAUGUGGCUGUUUCCUGGCCGUGAGAUGUGCUAAGAAGGCCUGGGACACGAAACAAGUCCUUAUGCAAAGCAUUUUAAGCCUCUCAGUUAUUUUUAAAGAAGUGGAAAAAUAUGACGAGCAGACUGAGGAUACAGAAGCUUGGGCUAUCAUUUGGGCUCAACAAAUCUCUGGAAGAGAAGCUCUUCCUGGGAAUGAAGGUGAUCAAAAUGGCUCUAGGAAAUGUGUGCCUAACUGGCAAGCUUGUAACCACCAUGGAGCUUGGACAAGAGAAAUAAAUGUGCUAUCUCUUCAUAGGAAACAGCCAGUGAAAAGAGGAAGCCAAGGCCAGUGCCUGCAUAAAAUAUUCAAAGAACCUGAAAUGUGAUGCUGCAGAGAGAAAGGAGGAGGGCAUGGAAGCCUCUAGGAAAAGGAUGAGUGAUAGAUGUGAAAUCGGGAUGAAAAAGCAAUAGAACAGACCAAAAUGAAAAGAGGGAAAGAGAGCUUUCAUUUUAUAAGAUAAUCCAAACUACUAUCAUUGACUGCAAAUCUGCACCACAUUUUGUUGUAGCCUUAAUACAUGACUUGCCAUUCCCAUAGGUAGUCCGACAGUUAGAUUUUAUGUAUAAACACAUGGUCGCUUGGGCAAAUUUGACCAUACCCUUCAAAUAGAUCCUCACUGCCUAAAGGUUUGUGUCCAAAUGUCUUAUGUCAUUCUAAGCCCCUUUCUGUUUCUUUCCUUACUGAUUUCUUACUUUGUUUCCCCUUCACACCUCACACUUGAGCCACAAAACUACAUCUGAGAUCCUAAGCUGUUUAAAUUGGUUUAUGACCCUUGGGAUUUUUUUGUACUGUAUCCUCUACCCAAAUCACCAAAAUUCUUGUCCCCUCCCCUGGCCCCUUAGGGAUCUGCUGUUUUGAAAACUCAACUGAAUCAUUAGGUCAUUUAUAAAGCUUUUCUUUACCUAUAACUGAGGGAGAACUGACCACCCAUUCCUUUGUGCUCUAAUGUACCCCACAGAUGCCUAGACCAUAGUAAUGAUUACACUUUAUAGCAUCUGCUUAACCAUGUGUUUCUCUCCACCAGGCUCCAGGUUAGGAACCCUCCCUACU